rnacentral:pre_miRNA from 1 species
UAAAAAAUUUAUAUGGAGUUGGAAUAGCUCCCCUUCGUUUGCCUCUAGGGGCGCUGUUCAAACUCCAUACAUAUUUGAGCUA